rnacentral:rRNA from 1 species
AGCUCCAAUAGCGUAUAUUAAAGUUGCUGCAGUUAAAAAGCUCGUAGUUGGAUUUCUGGUUUGAUGUACCUGUCCCGCCUCGGUAACGGGGUCGAGUGACGGAGUAUGUCUGCCAUCCUUCUAGAGAAUAUAAACUAUCCUUUACUGGACUGGUUUAUAUCAUCUAGAUCUUUUACUUUGAAAAAAUUAGAGUGUUUCAAGCAGGCGUUUUGCUAUGAAUACAUUAGCAUGGAAUAAUGAGUUAGGACUUCGGUUCUAUUUUGUUGGUUUCUAGGACUGAAGUAAUGAUUGAUAGGGAUAGUUGGGGGUGCUAGUAUUCAGCGGCCAGAGGUGAAAUUCUUGGAUUCGCUGAAGACUAACUUAUGCGAAAGCAUUCACCAAGGAUGUCUUCU